rnacentral:rRNA from 1 species
AUUGAACGCUGGCGGCAGGCCUAACACAUGCAAGUCGAACGGUAACAGGAAGAAGCUUGCUUCUUUGCUGACGAGUGGCGGACGGGUGAGUAAUGUCUGGGAAACUGCCUGAUGGAGGGGGAUAACUACUGGAAACGGUAGCUAAUACCGCAUAACGUCGCAAGACCAAAGAGGGGGACCUUCGGGCCUCUUGCCAUCGGAUGUGCCCAGAUGGGAUUAGCUAGUAGGUGGGUAACGCUCACCUAGGCGACGAUCCCCGUAGCCUGGUACCUGACGAGGAUGGACCAGCCACACUGGAACUGAGACACGGUCCAGACUCCUACGGGA